rnacentral:rRNA from 1 species
CAGCCGCCGCGGUAAAACGAAGGGGGCUAGCGUUGUUCGGAUUUACUGGGCGUAAAGGGUGCGUAGGCGGAUUGUUAAGUCAGGGGUGAAAUCCCAAGGCUCAACCUUGGAACUGCCUUUGAUACUGUUUGUCUUGAGUUCGAGAGAGGUAAGUGGAACUGCGAGUGUAGAGGUGAAAUUCGUAGAUAUUCGCAAGAACACCAGUGGCGAAGGCGGCUUACUGGCUCGAAACUGACGCUGAGGCGCGAAAGCGUGGGGAGCAAACAGGAUUAGAGACCCCUGUAGUCCCUGUCUCUUAUAA